UUAAUAGGGCUUGGGCUGAUACAACGUUAAUCCACUAUAUAUCAUGACUAAUAUUAAUUUUUUUAUUAAACAAAAUGAUUAUUUAUUAACAUGUUCUUCGAAAUAAAAUAAUGAUUUCUUAAUUCGUCAUUAUCUGAUGAUUUUUAAAUUUUGGUAUCAAAUGAAACCAUAUUCAUAUUUACUAUAAUAACAGAUAACAGACGGUCUAAUAAUUUAUCAGUAAACCCCUACAAAAAAAAAAAAAAAAAAAA
rnacentral:lncRNA from 1 species